UAGCAUUAACGUUAGCUAAUUACGUCCUUCGUUGCUUCUUCGGGAAGAAAAAGACGACAAGCAUGGCAGCAUUUUAAAUAUAAUGAAACCAUGAAUGUGACACAUUGCAUCGUCAAAGUCGGAAGACCAGAUAGGCCAUGUGGCGAAGAAGAACUUACAUCCUCAAGAGUAAACAUACAACCAAUUUGAAGAGGCAUCUGAGGCUUCGACACCCCGACAUUUAUGCAACGUCUUGGCAUCUCCUCAAUAAGACAAAUUGAGUUCGGAGCAUGGAAGACAGCCAUAUUUUAUUGACCUGAAGACUUUCACUUGAAGGCCAACUCAGAUCUCUGCCAGAUGUGCUGCAGAAUUUUUAACUCAGCGGGACGAUGGAGGCAGAUCAGAGUUGGAUGGACUCCAGUUGCAGUCUAAAGAGAUGAGUCUGCAAAAAGCAAAGGAAGGCAGUGAUCACAGAGCUGCAUGUAUGAGCUGGCCUUCAGGAACAGUGUAAGGCUACAUAAAAUGGGGCAGUGUGGCUG